ACAAGCUUUCGGGAGAACCUCCCUUUCUCAAGUUUGAGAAAUGCUUCAGACUUGAGAAAGGGAGGUUCUCCCGAAAGCUUG
rnacentral:miRNA from 1 species